GGAGGUUUGGCAGAGUUGGUCGAUCGCACCGGUCUUGAAAACCGGCGUACCGCAAGGUACCGGGGGUUCGAAUCCCUCAGCCUCCGCUA
rnacentral:tRNA from 1 species